GCAUCGGUGGUUCAGUGGUAGGAUUCUCACCUUCCAUACGGGAGACCCAGGUUCAAUUCUCGGCCAAUGCA
rfam:Loxodonta africana unplaced genomic scaffold scaffold_28, whole genome shotgun sequence.